GCCGAUACGAAAGCAUGACUCUCCAACGGGUCACCUGCACAGCAAGAGCAAGACCGACAGCCCGCCUCGGCACCUCAGCCCGCCCCAAUGCUCCCUCCAUGGCCUCCUGCAGGGCUUGAGGUGUUCAGGCUCCCCACACUGCUGCCCCACGCAGUGCCAGGGCACUGCCACACAUGUAAUCUGCGGCGCCAUGCCCGGUCUGAGGGCGCCGCUGGACUGGAGUUGCCGGAGCCAGUGUUGACGUCGGACAUGAUGCCACACUUUGAGGACGUAGCGAUCAUUCCUAACCCCGGGGAGCGCGCCGAGGCCAUGCGCCAGCUGAUCAACCGCCUGCCAACCGCCAACCGCCUGCUGCUACAAUACAUGUUCAAGCAUAUGGGACACAUCAUUGCAAGGGUUGUGCCGAUACGAAGGCCUGACUCUCCAACGGGUCACCUGUACAGCAAGAGCAAGAGCAAGACCGCCAGCCCGCCUCGGCCCCUCAGCCCGCCCCAAAGCUCCCUCCAUGGCCUCCUGCAGGGCUUGAGGUGGUCAGGCUAUUCACAGUGCUGCCCCACGCAGUGCCAGGGCAGUGCCACACCUGUAAUCUGCGGCGCCAUGCCCGGUCUGAGGGCGCCGCUGGACUGUUGUGCCGAUACGAAGGCCUGACUCUCCAACGGGUCACCUGUACAGCAAGAGCAAGAGCAAGACCGCCAGCCCGCCUCGGCCCCUCAGCCCGCCCCAAAGCUCCCUCCAUGGCCUCCUGCAGGGCUUGAGGUGGUCAGGCUAUUCACAGUGCUGCCCCACGCAGUGCCAGGGCAGUGCCACACCUGUAAUCUGCGGCGCCAUGCCCGGUCUGAGGGCGCCGCUGGACUGGAGUUGCCGGAGCCAGUGUUGACGUCGGACAUGAUGCCACACUUUGAGGACGUAGCGAUCAUUCCUAACCCCGGGGAGCGCGCCGAGGCCAUGCACCAGCUGAUCAACCGCCUGCCAACCGCCAACCGCCUGCUGCUACAAUACAUGUUCAAGCAUAUGGGACACAUCAUUGCAAGGCAUCUUGUCAGCCGUCCCAGCCUCUCGUCACCCUAUCCCCGCUGGACUCUGGGUAAAGACGUGACCAACCCCCAGCCUCCAGCCUCUUGUCACACCUCCUAGCCUUUCCCCGCUGGACAUUGCUUCGAGACGUGAUGAACAACAACAGCCUCCAGCAUCUGCCACACCUCCGAGCCUCUCUCCUCGUCAUUUGCCCGGUGGACCCUGGACGAGGAGGACGUGAGGAAGAGGAGGUGAAGAUGAAGACGAGGAAUAAG